rnacentral:rRNA from 1 species
GAUGAACGCUGGCGGCGUGCUUAACACAUGCAAGUCGAACGAAGCACCUUGAUUUGAUUCUUCGGAUGAAGAUCUUGGUGACUGAGUGGCGGACGGGUGAGUAACGCGUGGGUAACCUGCCUCAUACAGGGGGAUAACAGUUAGAAAUGACUGCUAAUACCGCAUAAGACCACAGCACCGCAUGGUGCAGGGGUAAAAACUCCGGUGGUAUGAGAUGGACCCGCGUCUGAUUAGGUAGUUGGUGGGGUAACGGCCUACCAAGCCGACGAUCAGUAGCCGACCUGGGAGGGUGACCGGCCACAUUGGGACUGAGACACGGCCCAAACCCCUACGGGGGGCAGCAGGGGGGAAUAUUGCAAAAUGGGGGAAACCCUGAUGCAGCGACGCCGGGGGGGCGAGGAAGUAUUUCGGUAUGUAAAGCCCUAUCAGCAGGGAAGAAAAUGACGGUACCUGACAAAAAACCCCCGGCUAAAUAC